UACGUAGGGGGCAAGCGUUGUCCGGAAUCAUUGGGCGUAAAGAGCGCGUAGGCGGCCAGAUAAGUCCGGUGUGAAAGUCACAGGCUCAACCUGUGAAUGCCGCUGGAAACUGUCUGGCUAGAGUCCGGGAGGGGCGAGUGGAAUUCCUGGUGUAGCGGUGAAAUGCGCAGAUAUCAGGAGGAACACCAAUGGCGAAGGCAGCUCGCUGGAACGGAACUGACGCUGAGGCGCGAAAGCGUGGGGAGCGAACAGG
rnacentral:rRNA from 1 species